AAAUUGCUUAUUUUGUUGUACAAGCUGAGCGUCAAUUAGGGAGAAUUUACUGUAAUAUGUAUAAAAAUAUCUCUAUUUUUCUUAGCUCACGAAACGAGAAGCUCGGAGAAGAUUGCGACUGCUUUCUCUCUCGUGUCGUUAACUCGCAAUUCCCGAAGAUCCUCGAUUGGGAUAUCGGCGUCACCAUAGCCCCAAACAUGGGUGCCAUCGCCAGAUCGGUUCGCCCUUCGUCGCACCAUCGCUGGAGACACGUACUUCCGGUCGUAUGCCCAGCCAAUAUUCGCGAAGGCGUCGAUGAAGCCGGUGGUCACGUUGUAUCUGUAGUUUCCCAGUUCCCCCGUCUUGUAAUCCCAUGGGAACACGUGGUGGAAGUUGUGCCAACCCUCGCCCAAAGCUGCUAUGGAAAUCAUCACGUUUUCCACCGGCGAGAUGAACCUGGAAAUGUUUAAAAUUCACUCAUAGAAGAACAGUGAAUUAUUGCGGUAGUUUAUUCGUUUAGCGAAGAAACGCUGUAUGUUUUCAAAUGCAAAUGAAGCUUUGUAAAAUGCAAAUUUCGUUGGAAA